AUAUUGGGCAAUGGGCGAAAGCCUGACCCAGCCACGCCGCGUGCGGGAAGAAGGCCCACAGGGUUGUAAACCGCUUUUCUUCGGGAAUAAAGCCCUGGUCGCCAGGGUCUGCAGGUACCGGGGGAAUAAGCACCGGCAAACUACGUGCCAGCAGCCGCGGUAAUACGUAGGGUGCAAGCGUUGUCCGGAUUUACUGGGUUUAAAGGGUGCGCAGGCGGCGGUGUAAGUCCGGGAUGAAAGGGGGGGGCUCAACCCCCCCGCUGUCUCGGAUACUGCACGGCUAGAGUCACAAUGAGGUAACUGGAAUAGACGGUGUAGCGGUGAAAUGCGUAGAGAUCGUCUGGAACGCCAAUUGCGAAGGCAGGUUACUGGUUGUGUACUGACGCUCAGGCACGAAAGCGCGGGUAGCGAA
rnacentral:rRNA from 1 species